rnacentral:snRNA from 1 species
AUACUUAUCUGGCGUAGGGGAUACCGUGAGCAUGCAGGCGGUUCCCCCAGGGCGAGGCUGCUCCAUUGCACUGCGGAGUGGUUGACCCUUGCGAUUUUUUUUUAUUUUUAUUAAUAAAAAAUAUAUACCCGAACAAUUAUUUUCUUUAUACCUCGAAUAGAACUUAAAAUUAAUAUUUUUAUAAUAAGGAACUUCGUUCCUA